GAUGAACGCUGGCGGCGUGCCUAAUACAUGCAAGUCGAGCGAACGGACGAGAAGCUUGCUUCUCUGAUGUUAGCGGCGGACGGGUGAGUAACACGUGGAUAACCUACCUAUAAGACUGGGAUAACUUCGGGAAACCGUAGCUAAUACCGGAUAAUAUUUUGAACCGCAUGGUUCAAAAGUGAAAGACGGUCUUGCUGUCACUUAUAGAUGGAUCCGCGCUGCAUUAGCUAGUUGGUAAGGUAACGGCUUACCAAGGCAACGAUGCAUAGCCGACCUGAGAGGGUGAUCGCCCACACUGGAGCUGAGACACGGUCCAGACUCCUACGGGAGGCAGCAGUAGGGAAUCUUCCGCAAUGGGCGAAAGCCUGACGGAGCAACGCCGCGUGAGUGAUGAAGGUCUUCGGAUCGUAAAACUCUGUUAUUAGGGAAGAACAUAUGUGUAAGUAACUGUGCACAUCUUGACGGUACCUAAUCAGAAAGCCACGGCUAACUACGUG
rnacentral:rRNA from 1 species